rnacentral:rRNA from 1 species
UCAAGCGAACAAGGGCGCAGGGCGAAUGCCUUGGCACUGGGAGCCGAUGAAAGACGUGAUAAGCUGCGAUAAGCUUCGGGGAGCUGCAAAUAAGCAUUGAUCCGGAGAUUUCUGAAUGAGGAAACUCACCUGGGUUCAUACUCAGGUACGUUAUACUGAACUUAAAAAUAGGUAUAUCGAGGGAACCGCCUGAACUGAAACAUCUAAGUAGGGCGAGGAAGAGACAUCAAACGAGAUUCCGUAAGUAGUGGCGAGCGAACGCGGAAGAGGGCAAACCGAAGGUAGAAAUACCUUCGGGGUACGGACUGCUUUUAGGACUCAAUCUGUUAACCGAACGGCAUGGGAAGGCCGGUCAGAGAGUGUGAGAACCACGUAGGUGAAAACGGAGAGAGCUGCGCAGGAUCCAGAGUACGGCCAGACACGUGAAACCUGGUCGGAAGAUGGGGGGACCACCCUCCAACCCUAAAUACUACCCAGUGACCGAUAGCGUAUAGUACUGUGAAGGAAAGGUGAAAAGCACCCCGGGAGGGGAGUGAAAAAGAACCUGAAACCCUGUGCCUACAAGCACCUAGAGCACGUCAAAGUGUGAUAGGGUACUUUUUGUAGAACGGUCCGGCGAGCGAUUGUAUGCAGCAAGGUUAAGGACUUAAGGUCUGGAGCCGAAGCGAAAGCGAGUUUGAAAAGGGCGUUAAGUUGCAUAUAAUGGGCCCGAAACCGGGUGACCUACCCAUGGUCAGGUUGAAGUGGAAGUAAAAUUCCAUGGAGGACCGAACCGACCUCCGUUGAAAAGGCGGCGGAUGAACUGUGGGUAGCGGAGAAAUUCCAAUCGAACCCGGAGAUAGCUGGUUCUCCCCGAAAUAGUUUUAGGACUAGCCUCAAGUUAGAUACCUGGAGGUAAAGCACUGAAUAGCCUAGCGGCCGAGAGGUUAGCGAAGCUUAUCAAACUCAGAAUGCCAGAGUAUUGAUGCUUGGGAGUCAGACAGUGUCAGAUAAAUGUCAUUGUCAAAAGGGAAACAGCCCAGAUCUACAGCUAAGGUCCCAAAGUCAGGUUAAGUGGAAAACGAUGUGAAGAUACGCAGACAACCAGGAUGUUGGCUCAGAAGCAGCCACUCAUUCAAAGAGUGCGUAAUAGCUCACUGGUCGAGCGUCUUUGCGCGGAGAAUUUAACGGGGCUAAACCUGACACCGAAGCUUAGGCAAUACAGCAAUGUAUUGGGUAGGGGAGCGUUGUAUACGCGGUGAAACAGUAGCGCAAGCGGCUGUGGAGUGUAUAGAAGUGAGAAUGCCGGAAUGAGUAGCGCGAAUGCAGUGAGAAUCUGCAUGGCCGAAAGCCUCAGGUUUCUGGAGGAAGGUUCGUCCGCUCCAGGUUAGUCGGGAGCUAAGGUGAGGCCUAACGGCGUAGCCGAUGCACAGACGGUAGAGAUUCCGUCACCACCAAAAGAGUUAAGCACAGGGACACAUUUGAAGUCUCAGAGCCGGGUGUUGGUUCCGGUAGAGAUCGAGGGAAAUUAGUACCGAAGUCUGGGAUGGAAGAUGGCGAGAAAAGCUGUGUGUAUUUCUGAGGUGCCCGUACCGCAAACCGACACAGGUAGGUAGGAAGAAGAUUCUAAGGCCAACGGGAGAAGGGUUGUUAAGGAACUCGGCAAAUUGACCCCGUAACUUCGGGAGAAGGGGUGCUCCAGAGAUGGAGCCGCAGAGAAUCGGCCCAAGCAACUGUUUACCAAAAACACAGGUUUGUGCUAAAUCGAAAGAUGACGUAUACGAGCUGACGCCUGCCCGGUGCUGGAAGGUUAAGAGGAGAUGUGCAAGCAUUGAAUCGAAGCCCCAGUGAACGGCGGCCGUAACUAUAACGGUCCUAAGGUAGCGAAAUUCCUUGUCAGGU